CAGGGUAUGGCUGAGAUAGUCAAGCGUCUCACUUACACCGAGAAAACAUCUAUGCGAGUUAGAUUACCCUGA
rnacentral:tRNA from 1 species